AAUUGCCAUAAAAGCCACAGCAAGUGUCUGCAGUAUCAUUUGUCUGAAGUAAACUCUGAGUUCGACCUAAGCGGCUGUUAAUGAUUUCCACAGGGUGGUUUUUUCCUCCACAAUUACAAAGCUCACCCUCUACUGACAUGUGAUUUAUGGUUUCUCCUAACCAAGGUAGGGCUCUAACUUUCUUCCAGAGAGUUACACCUUGUAUCUGAUUAUUUGCAGUUUGUUUUGUGUCAAGUUCUUUAGUACUCAUACAGCCAAAAACCAGUGAGCUACGCAGAUUUGUUAUGAGAUAAAGUGUCUGACUCUCUAGAAGGGCACAGAUGGAACGGUGCAACUUUCACAGUGGAUGUGCUACU